UGAGGAACAUGACCUUCGGCGGGGGAUAGCCGGCCCAACGGCCGGGUAAUACCGCGUACGACCAUUUGGGGACAUCCCCGAGUGGUGAAAGCAGCAAUGCGCCGAUGGAGUGCCUCGCGGCCUAUCAGCUAGUUGGUGAGGUAACGGCUCACCAAGGCAACGAUGCGUAGCCGACCUGAGAGGGUGAUCGGCCACAUUGGAACUGAGACACGGUCCAGACUCCUACGGGAGCAG
rnacentral:rRNA from 1 species